UAGCUCAAUUGGUAGAGUGCUUGCCUCACAUGCACAAGGCCCUGGGUUCAAUCCCCAG
rnacentral:tRNA from 1 species